UACGUAGGGGGCAAGCGUUAUCCGGAUUUACUGGGUGUAAAGGGAGCGUAGACGGCGAUGCAAGCCAGAUGUGAAAGCCCGGGGCUCAACCCCGGGACUGCAUUUGGAACUGUAUAGCUAGAGUGUCGGAGAGGCAGGCGGAAUUCCUAGUGUAGCGGUGAAAUGCGUAGAUAUUAGGAGGAACACCAGUGGCGAAGGCGGUCUGCUGGACAGCAACUGACGCUGAGGCGCGAAAGCGUGGGGAGCAAACAGG
rnacentral:rRNA from 1 species